CAGAGAUGGGUGCCCCCUUGUGGUCGGUAUACAGGUGGUGCAUGGCUGUCGUCAGCUCGUGUCGAGAGAUGUUGGGUUAAGUCCCGCAACGAGCGCAACCCUUGUCCUGUGUUGCCAGCAUGCCCUUCGGGGUGAUGGGGACUCACAGGAGACCGCCGGGGUCAACUCGGAGGAAGGUGGGGACGACGUCAAGUCAUCAUGCCCCUUAUGUCUUGGGCUGCACACGUGCUACAAUGGCCGGUACAAAGAGCUGCGAUGCCGCGAGGCGGAGCGAAUCUCAAAAAGCCGGUCUCAGUUCGGAUUGGGGUCUGCAACUCGACCCCAUGAAGUCGGAGUUGCUAGUAAUCGCAGAUCAGCAUUGCUGCGGUGAAUACGUUCCCGGGUCUUGUACACACCG
rnacentral:rRNA from 1 species